GCCAUUUCGGUUAUUGACGACCUUCCUUGCAUUUGAGCAUGGUUGGUUGUUAUUAGUCGUGUGGUUUCGGGGAUGUCUACCGUAAAGGUGCAUGAGUGGUGUUUGGAUUGUUACGGGUGGUUGGCUCCUUGCUUGCGCAACCAACUUCCACCUGGCAUUCCUCUUCAUUUUGGUUUCAAUGCAUGGAUUGCAAUGAAAGCACGUUGGGUUUCUUGUGUUGCAUGCCUAAUCGAUGGUAUCGCGUGAAGAAUCGGUAAUCAUCUUCAUCUUUUGUCGCACUUGCGGUACGAGAUGAACCAUAAAGCAGCCUUUGUGAUCCACUCUUUUGAUGCACUUGCACUAAAUUUGUGGCUCAUUGAGUGUUAGCUCGGUCUCAUGGAUACAGAACCUUGUGUGGGCAUGUGAUCUUUUGCUAGGUCGCUGUUUGCUCAAGCUAAGCUAUUUCAAAUACGAUUUCCUAUCACGUUUCAACGUGGUAGGCUAUGUCGAAUGUGAAUGCUACCUGG
rnacentral:misc_RNA from 2 species